rnacentral:rRNA from 1 species
AGCAGCCGCGGUAAUUCCAGCUCCAAUAGCGUAUAUUAAAGUUGUUGCAGUUAAAAAGCUCGUAGUUGAAUUUCGGGAUUAGUAGGUUGGUCGUGCCUCUGGUAUGUACUCGCCUUACUGGUUCCUCCUUCUUGAAGAACUGUAAUGCCAUUAAUUUGGUGUUGCAGGGAAACAGGACUGUUACUUUGAAAAAAUUAGAGUGUUUAAAGCAGGCCAUUGCCUGAAUACAUUAGCAUGGAAUAAUGAAAUAGGACGUUGAUCCUAUUUUGUUGGUUUCUAGGAUUGACGUAAUGAUUAAUAGGGAUAGUUGGGGGCAUUAGUAUUCAAUUGUCAGAGGUGAAAUUCUUGGAUUUAUUGAAGACUAACUACUGCGAAAGCAUUUGCCAAGGAUGUUUUCAUUAAUCAAGAACGAAAGUUAGGGGAUCGAAGACGAUCAGAUACCGUCGUAGUCUUAACCAUAAACUAUGCCGACUAGGAUCGGAUGAUGUU